UUUGUAUUUAUAUUUAUUUACAACACGAAUAUUGCAGUAAUUAUGUAUCUAUCAGCCGCUGUACAAAAAUACCCGAGAUUAGGGAGCCUAUAAACAUUCAACAACGUUGCAGUCUGAAAUGGAAUGUGGUGGAAAAUGGAACUUACAUUUAUGGCGACAUCAAAUUGGAGAUGCAAAAAUGGUUUGAUAUCUAACACUAGCGGAAAUAAACAACAAAAAUAUAAUAUAGCUUGAAUUACACGAAUAACAUUGAAUUAAAAUUCUAUACUAAAAGGAAUCAAAAAAUCACACACAACACCCAGAAUUUUGUUAAUCAUCCAUAUAAACUAAAACUGAAUUAGUUUUUUUCUUAUUUAAAUUUCCUUUAUGCCAUUUUUAUUUUCAUACUUUUGUUUCGCAACAACAAUCAAAAGUUUCUAAAAACUAAAUUGUUUCAUUUAAUAAAUUAUAAAUAGGGUAGAAACAAAAUUAUGCACCAAUAUGAGCUUAUCGACUAAAUCAUAGCCUACAUUCGAAAUACACGACCCUAACAAAAGACUGGCAGUUAAUUUACAGUAAGACUGCAAAAAGAAAAUUAUAUUGUGCAAAAACAACGUUGAGCCAAGUCUCAAGUAAUUUGAAACAUCAGAAGAUUGAAAAGGCAGUCUGAAAAUAUAUGGGAUACUAUAGGUCAAGCGGUUAAUUCAAUCAAUGUCAGAGGUAUAGGAGCGGCACGGGAGGGUGUUGUUGUGCGUAACGUCAGCGAGACUUCAUAUCUCUUUCAGAAUUAUACAGGGUGUCCCAGAAUGGGUGAAUCAAACUGAUAGGGGAGGUAGCUCUACUAAUGUCUAUCCCUAAAUAUGAAAAAAAAAUUUUUGAGUUCGGAUUUCUUUUUAAAUAAUGUGCUCUAAACUCGAAAUCUAGUCAUUUCAAAAGUUUGUUUACAGAAUAACGAAGCGAUCAUGUACAAUUAAUAUUAGUAAGAAAAAAGUAAAACCAAAAACUCCAAACGCAGCAAUUAUAACCAGAUAGCUGAUUUAUUUUCACUUUUUAAUAAAAAAAAAUUGUGUCUUUAUUUGCAUACUUUUUAAGGAUAGUACAUUAGUAGAGCUACCUCCCCUAUCAGUUUGAUUCAGCCAUUCUGGGACACCCUGUAUGCUUCGUCACGUCACAAUAUGUCAAUGUUAUCUCUCCAGUACCGCUUUACCUCGGGGACUGACUGAGUUAAGCUAGACCGUAUAGGUAUUAGUUAGCUUCUUUUUAGAUGAUUCUGCUGCUUACAUACAACCAAUUAGUCAUUCGAAGGUAAUUUUGGUCCCAUAAGAGGAACGUAUUUCAACAGUAGAAUAAUCCAAUAAUAAGAUAACUAAUAAAAUAACAACCCCUGUUGAAAUGUUAUAAAUAAGUUGGGCACUCUGUUACAUCAUGUAAAAAAAUAAUGAUCUCUUGUUUUCGAUUUCAAACUGUGUAGUUAAAAAUGAAAAGUAGUAAAGAAAAUAUUAAUUAAAUCAAAUAUUAUACAUAUUUUUAAAUUACACCGGGUGUAAGGUAACGUGUUGGAAAGAAAUAUUUAUGAUUUAGUAAUCGGACCUUUUCUCACAAAUUUUAAGAUAAUCCUAAUGUCGUUGAAUAUAAAAAUAUACAAAAAUAUCUAUGGAAUGAUUUUGAAACUUACAUGGUUUUGAGUCAGUCAAGAUUUAUCGUUACCUGACACCCGGUAUCUGUGAUGUAUUACAUCCAAUCUAAAUAGCGUUCAUAAACUUUACAACAAAAUUAAAUAAUACAUAAGACCUAAUCAAAUCGUCCAUGAAAUGUUUAUGAAUACUGACUUUGCUACAUAACUACAAUCUUGAAACACAUACCGCGAAAUAUAUUCUAUUUAUUUUGAAGUUGCAAGAUUUGUAUUAUUUGGCACCUUCCGACGUUGCCCGCGUGAGCUAAAAUACGGUAUCUUGUAUUUAUUUAUUACUUUACAAUCAUACACCUAGCCUCAAAGCUAACAAUUUUGCAAAGCCUGAGACUAGAUUACACAAAAACAUACUUAGAUAAAAAUAUACACUAAUACACUAUGGCCCCAAAGGGGUUAGAACUCGCACGAGCGCUAAGUGAAGUGUGGACCACCAAGCCAUCAUGUGCAAAUCUCAAAUAAACUUCCAAGAUUCCGAUUUUUAGCUUUCGAGGGCAGAACACUACUCACAUAUUUCUAUAAAUUAUUUAGUAAUCAAAAUCAAGUAGGUAGAUUGAUUCUUUUCUAGUAGGAAAAUACUGACUGACAACCUCUCAGCUCGGAAUAAAAUAAUGUAUUUUAAAACCUUCUCCAGAUAAUAUUAUUUACAUAAUUCAAAUAGUUCUGUUUUAAGCGAGGUUCUGUUAACAUACUGUAUUAGAAAAAAUAUUUAUUUAUAAUGUUCUGAAAUCACAAACUUCAUAAUACGCUGUUAUUCUAAAUUGUACUUUCCGUAGAAGAAUUAAGUGUUGUUAUUAUUAUUAUUGAGAUUAUUCUGAUUUAAUAAACGUGGUUUAUUUACACAAUAUUUGGAGAUAUGUAAUUAUUAUACAUAACAAUCUCUAUCACAUGUUAUUAUUAAUAUUUUAUACACAUUUCCUUGACGUCUUGAUAAGUUUCCUUAAUUUCUACAAAACUUUACGAUAUUCUGACAAAAAUGUUAGUUUUAUACAAGAAUAUAUGGGAAAGUUCUCUUCCCAGAACACCGUAUAGAUUGCACUAAAUAUGUAAAAACAAAGAACAAAAAUAAAUAGGAUUUACAGUGAAGAACAGACUAUAUCUAGCACACUCACACAUUCUCAACGCAGUAGGCACGAGGCAAACGAAAUACUGUUGUACGUUAACUCGGAAUAAAAUACUUUCUGAACAUGUGGCUACAUUUUUUUUUACAUUAAUUGACAUAAUUUUUAAGAUAAUGUCAAAGCGAAGUUUUCCGUAGAAUGCGUAAAAUUAGUUCGAAGUGAACUCACCAAAUAAUAUUUGUCUUUAAAUAUUUUUUACUCAUUUAAUAAACAAUUUGACACAUUAUGUACCAGAUUGAAUACUGCGAAUAAUUGGAUAUUAUUAUUUACAAUUAUGUAUCCUAUCAUUUAUUAUUAAACAUUUUCUUUUGAUCAUCAUCAUCACUAUUUCAGCCAUAGGGUCCACACUGCUGAACGUAGUGGCCAAAUAAUUUCCAUAUUGACCGGUUGGUAUGGAUUUUCUAUUUAAUAUCAAGAAAGUAUUUCAUAGGCAGUUGAGAUUGACUCCAGAUAGGAGAUCUGCAGUCCCAGUUAACGAUCGUAAAUAAAUUCGAGAUACAAACAUAAAAAGCUUAACUAAUUUAUGACUACGCUUCGUAAUAAAGCAUGUACGGUAUCUGCCAACAAAUAGGACUAUUUAUCAGUACAAAUAUUUCUUCAUAUUUUUUUAAUAUUUCACCAAAUCAUUCAUGAAAGGACACUCGUUUAAUUGAAUUAUUUCGGUUUUAUUACAAAGUCGGCGCUCAAUAUGCUAAAAACAUUUUUGCGAAUUCAAUAUUACUCCCAUAUUAAACAUGGUUAAGACAGUACAAAUAUUACAGGUAUAUAACCUGCUCAAAACCAAUCCAGCCAGUACACCAAGCAAGAAUCUACUAAAACACUGUGAAAUUACAAAUACUAUUUACAA